UACGUAGGGCGCAAGCGUUGUCCGGAAUUAUUGGGCGUAAAGAGCUCGUAGGCGGUUUGUCGCGUCUGCUGUGAAAACCUAAGGCUCAACCUUGGGCUUGCAGUGGGUACGGGCAGACUAGAGUGCGGUAGGGGGUGACUGGAAUUCCUGGUGUAGCGGUGGAAUGCGCAGAUAUCAGGAGGAACACCGGUGGCGAAGGCGGGACUCUGGGCCGAUACUGACGCUGAGGAGCGAA
rnacentral:rRNA from 1 species